rnacentral:rRNA from 1 species
CAGUAGCCGCGGGAAUACAGAGGGUGCGAGCGUUAAUCGGAUUUACUGGGCGUAAAGCGUGCGUAGGCGGCUUCUUAAGUCGGAUGUGAAAUCCCUGAGCUUAACUUAGGAAUUGCAUUCGAUACUGGGAAGCUAGAGUAUGGGAGAGGAUGGUAGAACUCCAGGUGUAGCGGUGAAAUGCGUAGAGAUCUGGAGGAAUACCGAUGGCGAAGGCAGCCAUCUGGCCUAAUACUGACGCUGAGGUACGAAAGCAUGGGGAGCAAACAGGAUUAGAUACCCCAGUAGUCCCUGUCUCUUAUAC